CUUCGGUAGAUGGUCCUCCCUGUGGGCCCAGUUGCCCCAGUUCGUCCCAGCCAGUGCAGAGCAGUGAUUUGAGCUAUGGGGCGAGGUGUGGGGGGCGGAGGGCCUCACUGAAGCACCCCAAAACUUCGGGUUCAUCUCAGCGGGCAGGUGGGCAGGCUGCGAAGCUCGGCUCCCGGGGGCCCGAGCAUCCCCGCGGCGGGGGCUCCCGCCGAAGCCCCGUGCAAGGAGCGAGAAAUUACGAAUGGCUCCUUUCCCCCCCGCCGGCCCCUUUCGCUCACGCUUCGCCGUCCCCCGCCGGCAGCUGCUUCCCAUUACCGUAAAAGCUGACAAGGUGCAGGGCUGGCGCGGAGCCUCCCCGGCAGGAAAUACGGGAGGUUUGGGAAGRCGAGACUCCAGGACCUUGAAUUCGCCUCACCUGUACCUGACGCUGCAGGGUUUCUAGCCCUGGAAGGUCUCCGGCAUGCGCAGGACGGAGAGUCCUUCGGAUCAGCGUGGAUCUGCCAGGCUUUCACACCCCAACUCCCAUUUUCACAGCAGGAGGAUUGGAGAUGGGGGGGGGGGNNNNNNNNNNNNNNNNNNNGGAUUAAGGGAAGGGGGGGGGGAGAAAAAAAAAAUCCAAGCACCGUUUUAGAAAAUGGCAAGACAAAGAACAGAUUGUUUGAAUGAUUUGCCCAAAUUUGGUCAAAACUAAGUUCAGUCUGAAACUGUGGUGUUUCCUUCCUCCACCCCAUCGGCCUCCACAGAAAUCUGCCACAUUUUAGCAGAUCUGAGCACCUUACAAGCACAAAAGUUAGGCCACACAAUAUAUCCCCYGGCGGCUUUUAAAUGCUUGCAUGGCGUUUUGAGAUUUUGUGGUGGCAAAGUGGGAUACUAGCAGCUAACGAAUUUAGUGAUUUAUAAGCCAUGACAUGCUAAAUUAAUUAAGAAACAGUGGACAAAAUGCAAAUAUAGGAAUAGUGAAUUAGACCCUGUUACUAACCAGAUUUCAGAUGAUGAAUAUCUAAGCUCAUACGUGAUGAAAAAGCAAAGCUAUGAGAAGUGUCUGCAGUCACAAAACAAAGUCUAUUAAGCCUACUUGUUCUGGAUAGUAUUGAACAAAGCUCGGGAGAAAAAAUUGGAUAAAAUAAAUGCUUUUGAUUCUCUAAUGUGUUUUGAGCC
rnacentral:lncRNA from 1 species